GGCAUUUCAAGCAUGAGGCCUUAGUGUCCUUCACAUUUCACAACUAGGAAUUCCUGAGAGUGAGGCUUGCAGGCUGAAUGAAGGGAGCACAAUAUCUCCUUGAUAUUUACCUCUUUGGAGCAAGAGCCCAGCAAUCUGCCUGACCAGCUGGGAGAGCUCACAUCUGCAAAGGGCACCAAGCAGAGAAAUAGGGUUACAUUUUUAGUGAGGCUUCCUAAUGUUAUUUUCAUUUCCGUCAAGAGACUUUUACCUGGUUUUGUGGCAUUUGAGUGUCUAUGAUUUCAAGCAAUAAGACAGAAAUACUAUUGAUGUGUUUUUCCUCUAUGGAAAUAAGAAAUAUCUACAACAACAACAACAAAAAAAAAAAGAACUCACAGUAAGACCAGGUCGCCUACAAACAAAGAAGAUUCACAUAUAUAGUUACAUGCAGGUGCUAGGAAAGGGAGUAAUUCUCCUGGAGAAUCAUCUGCUGCAUUCAGUAUCUCCGCAGAGACACUGUGUGGAUCCAGCUGUGGGAUCACAACUGUAACUAAGCAUCUUGUCUACUACUCCUCAGGCCAGGAUUGCAGCUGCUUUUCCCUCACUUGGACAAAGAAAUCAAUGAGUCAAUACACUGCUGCCCUUGAAAUGAGACAAGGAAAUAUUCCAGUGCCAACAAGAAUGUGCACACAACACAAGAAGAAGACGAAAAAAGAAGCUUGUUAACUAUACAAAACUACAAAGAAAAAAACUCUCAUUAUUUCAACAGAUUGAAGCCCUUAUGUCAACCGAGGGUGCAAAAACUUUUUCAGCAUUUUGUAACUUUUUUAAAAAAGAUUAGCCUAUUUUCCUUUCCAUAAGCCUAAGAAUAUAUAUAUUUUUAAUGCUGUGCUGAUUUGUAUUUUUUUCUUAAGUCUUGUGAAUUAUCUGGGGUUUUGAUGAAAGAUUCCUAGAAAUCUCAGACAUGUUUGUUAUGAGAUUUUAGGUUUUUUGUAGAAAGUGGUAGCUUAAAUAUUCAACGACUUCUAUUCACCCGAAUGUUCUUUGUACUCUGGAAGUAAACAGAGAGCAACAACAACAGACUAAGAAAUAAACUGCUAAAAAUAUAAUUAAAAGCCUUUUAG
rnacentral:lncRNA from 1 species